UAUCUCUGUAGAGUCUGCAUAUCAAUAAGCGGAGGAAAAGAAACUAACAAGGAUUCCCUUAGUAACGGCGAGUGAAGCGGGAAGAGCUCAAAUUUGAAAUCUUCAAGGUUCUACCUUGACGAAUUGUAGUUUAAAGAAGUGUUUUCUGCUAGAUGAGUAGCAAAAGUUCCUUGGAAUGGGACAUCAUAGAGGGUGAGAAUCCCGUAUUUGGUUAUUCAUUCUAGCUUUGUGAUACACUUUCAAAGAGUCGGAUUGUUUGGGAAUGCAGUCCAAAAUGGGUGGUAAAUUUCAUCUAAAGCUAAAUAUUGGCGAGAGACCGAUAGCGAACAAGUACCGUGAGGGAAAGAUGAAAAGAACUUUGAAAAGAGAGUUAAACAGUACGUGGAAUUGUCAAAAGGGAAGCGUUUGACACCAGUGUUGUUUUUCCAAGAAUCAAUUACGAAUGGCUUGAUUUUGUGUUGUAUUGACCUUAUCAGCUUUCUUCACUUUUUUCGAGUCUUUCUUAAUGCACUUUUCGGUUAACAAGUCAACAUCAAUUUCUUUUGUUGUAAAAGAGUAUUCGGAAGGUGGCUUUCUUUUCGGAGAAAGUGUUUAUAGCCCUAUACUUCUACAAUCGGAGAGAUUGAGGUCUGCAGCGUAGAUCCUUCGGGGUUAGAUACACUUUGUGCUAAGUUGUAGCUUUUCAUAGACAACUUGUUGACUAUGUUUAGUCAUGCGGCUUACUCGCUUGUGCUAUUUUACCUACGCUUAGGAUGUUGACUGAUAUGUAGUCGUA
rnacentral:rRNA from 1 species